rnacentral:rRNA from 1 species
CCUACGGGUGGCAGCAGUAGGGAAUAUUGCUCAAUGGGGGAAACCCUGAAGCAGCAACGCCGCGUGGAGGAUGAAGGUUUUCGGAUUGUAAACUCCUUUUGUUAGAGAAGAUAAUGACGGUAUCUAACGAAUAAGCACCGGCUAACUCCGUGCCAGCAGCCGCGGUAAUACGGAGGAUGCGAGCGUUAUCCGGAUUUAUUGGGUUUAAAGGGUGCGUAGGCGGGCCUUCAGGCCGGCGGUAAAAUUGCGGGGCUCAACCCCGCCGAGCCGUCGGAACCGGGGGCCUUGAGUACCGGAGAAGUACGCGGAAUGCGUGGUGUAGCGGUGAAAUGCAUAGAUAUCACGCAGAACCCCGAUUGCGAAGGCAGCGUACCGGCCGGUCACUGACGCUGAGGCACGAAAGCGCGGGUAUCGAACAGGAUUAGAUACCCUAGUAGUC